CUGGCUUCUAUAGAGGGGAGCAAACUCAUAAGCUGGGGGAGUUCCCCAAACAAAAACAAACAUCUAUUACACCUGCCUUCUCAGGAAGAAGGCUAAUGUGCUGCGGGUACCAGGCCCCUGGAUGACAGAAAGAUCAUUUCAUUGUGACUGCAAAUGAAGGCUUUUGAGUUUGAAAGCCUGGAUACCACUCACUAGCUUGCAGGUGCCGUGCACUUCAGCUGUACUGAAUUAGCUGCAAUUCUUCUACAUGCCUUCCUGUUGAAUACCUCUUUCCCUUGCCCUUUUUCCAUUUGUCACCCAAAAAGCUCCUUUUAUAUCCUCAUGACUCAUGUCAAGUUCAGUCUACUCUCGGCAGCUUUCCGUGAUCCCCUAUUAAGAGUCCUUUCCGUGGCCCACUGACCUCAGUUAUGACUUCUUCACUGAAAUGUAAUUGUUGUUCUAUUGGUCCAUGAGUUCCUCAGAGCAGGAAUGGGUCUUGAUCCUCUUUUUGCUACCUGGUGACAUGGUAGC